AUUGAACGCUGGCGGCAGGCCUAACACAUGCAAGUCGAGCGGGGUUUUCGGACCUAGCGGCGGACGGGUGAGUAAUGCGUAGGAAGCUACCCGACAGAGGGGGAUACCAGUUGGAAACGACUGUUAAUACCGCAUAAUGUCUACGGACCAAAGUGUGGGACCUUCGGGCCACAUGCUGUCGGAUGCGCCUACGUGGGAUUAGCUAGUUGGUGAGGUAAUGGCUCACCAAGGCGACGAUCCCUAGCUGGUUUGAGAGGAUGAUCAGCCACACUGGAACUGAGACACGGUCCAGACUCCUACGGGAGGCAGCAGUGGGGAAUAUUGGACAAUGGGCGGCAAGCCUGAUCCAGCCAUGCCGCGUGUGUGAAGAAGGUCUUCGGAUUGUAAAGCACUUUAAGUUGGGAGGAAGGGUAGUAACCUAAUACGUUGUCUACUUUGACGUUACCGACAGAAUAAGCACCGGCUAACUCGUGCCAGCAG
rnacentral:rRNA from 1 species